AGCUCUUGGUGAGGUGUUGAAUGGGGAUCGUUUAGUCAGUGCUCCCUACAAACUCAACUUUAGAGAUGAGAAGGACACAGCGGUUGUUUGUCAGAAGAAGCUUACAAAGGAAGAAGUUGCUCAGUUCCGAUCUGCAGUUGAGAAAGACUAUUACUUCCAGAUGUACUAUGAUGAUUUGCCAAUUUGGGGAUUCAUAGGAAAGGUUGACAAGGAAGGCAAAGCUGACCCAAGUGAAUACAAAUACUUCCUUUACAAGCAUAUCCAAUUUGAUGUUCUUUAUAAUAAGGACCGUGUGAUUGAAGUA
rnacentral:misc_RNA from 1 species